rnacentral:misc_RNA from 1 species
AAAUCGUAACAAGGUUUCCGUAGGUGAACCUGCGGAAGAAUCAUUAACACGUAUCCAAACGUUAAAACCCCCCCCGUGAACCUUCAUCCUGCUCUUGUAACCCGCGUAGUGCGCAAUCUCUGAUAAAUCAUAGCCCGGAAAGUUGUAGUGAUUCAGAGACCUCUGGCUACGUGCGAACAUUGGAACAGUUACAAUCGAGCGGUGGUUCUAUAGGCAAUGUUUCCCCAAGCAGUCAGUGUCGGAAAGUGUCAUUGAUUGUGCAAUACAUUGGGUAAAAAAACUGAACAACUGUUAACAAUGGAUAUCUUGGUUCUC